UACAGAACAACGUCCUACAAAAUGUGUCCUACCUGGUCCGAAAACAGUGACUAACAGAACCACGUACCAUCCCCUUCAACAGGCGUGUGGGGGGAGGGUGUUUGAAAUGUACCAUCCAAUCAAAUCUUUUAAACUGUUUUUGCAAUACAACAUUCUCCAGACCUCCAGGCAUGACAACGAAGGGAUUUUGGCAGUAUGGCAACACAAGAGUAGCCCAUACGCAAUUGCCAACAGUUGGACUAUUGUUGAGUACAGAAAAUAUAGGCCUAUAUGUAACCGAUGUGAAAUGGCUAGUUAGUUAGCGGUGGUGCGUGCUAAUAGCAUUUCAAUCAGUGACGUCACUCGCUCUGAGACUUGAAGUUGAGUUUCCCCUUGCGUUGCAAGAACCGCGGCUUUUGUGGCGCGAUGGGUAACGAUGCUUCGUGGGGUGUCAGUUGUUGAUGUGUGCAAGGGUCCCUGGUUCGAGCCCAGGUUGGGGCGAAGAGAGGGACGGAACCUACACUGUUACAUAUAGAGUACCACAGUAUGAGUCAUAAUACCCAUAAAAACUAGCGGUCUUUUCGAAUUGAAGCAUAAAUAGAGCUGAAUAUAUUGAUGUCCCCUUUACAAGACAGAUUUAAAUGGUUGUCAAACGUCACGCCAGGUCAAGCCUACACAGAACAAAUCCCCUAUGGGAAAAUAGAUGGUGGAAAAACGAUUGGAACCAUUUCCCGUUGUAUGGCUAUUGUGACACAUCAACUGUGUAGCCCAUUAUAACUAAUAAGUUGUACUGAAAUGGAAAAUCCAUAUAAACUGAUGUGAAAAAGUGUAGCCUAUCUGUGUUUAAGAAUGCUCUUAGCCUUCUGGAAUUCAUCAGGAAAUCAAAAGAAGAAGAAACUUUAAGUAUACAACAAUUACAGCAAGAAAAACGUAAACAACAGUAUAUCAAUAGCAAAUACUCACUUUCGCAGAAUCUUUCAAUAAGUAACCUAAACUCCCCUAAACGUUUUAGUCGCUCUUCAAUUUAGGUCUUCUUCCAAACCAAGCUCACAAGCAAUCUCGCAG
rnacentral:lncRNA from 1 species